UAGGGAAUCUUCGGCAAUGGGGGGAACCCUGACCGAGCAACGCCGCGUGAGUGAAGAAGGUUUUCGGAUCGUAAAGCUCUGUUGUUAAGGAAGAACGAGUGUGAGAAUGGAAAGUUCAUGCUGUGACGGUACUUAACCAGAAAGGGACGGCUAACUACGUGCCAGCAGCCGCGGUAAUACGUAGGUCCCGAGCGUUGUCCGGAUUUAUUGGGCGUAAAGCGAGCGCAGGCGGUUAGAAAAGUCUGAAGUGAAAGGCAGUGGCUCAACCAUUGUAGGCUUUAGAAACUGUUUAACUUGAGUGCAGAAGGGGAGAGUGGAAUUCCAUGUGUAGCGGUGAAAUGCGUAGAUAUAUGGAGGAACACCGGUGGCGAAAGCGGCUCUCUGGUCUGUAACUGACGCUGAGGCUCGAAAGCGUGGGGAGCGAACAGG
rnacentral:rRNA from 1 species